GAAAUGCGAUACGCAAUGCGAAUUGCAGAACCGCGAGUCAUCAGAUCUUUGAACGCAAGUGGUGGAGGUGUAAAAACCUUCAUGUUUGUUUCAGUGUGGAAAGGAAUCACGCAUCUUAAUGCGAUUGAAGCAUCGCUUCUCUCGUUAAACGUGAUGGGUGGUCGAGCAAUCGCCGCCAGAACGAAGUAGUCACAUUCGUGUAAUGUGAACAUUCGUUCAGGCAAUACGACGAGUGCUCAAUUAUACUACUCCAUAGAAAAAUUACUCUUCUCACUACACCUGAAAUAAGCAAGAUUACCCGCUGAACUUAA
rnacentral:misc_RNA from 1 species